GACUUCGCCGCUGCUGUAGUUCCCCGGCUGGAUGCGGUGACUGGUGCCAGUGCUCAGGCGCCCGCUGCCCUUGACCUCCCGCCCCGCGAGCCCUAACUCAGCGCAGGAGGACCGGCUGCCGCCGCCGCCGCCGCCAGGAGGUAGAUUGGGAAGUGGAGCUGGCCGUGGUCAUUGGAAAGAAAGGCAAGCACAUCAAGCUUUGAGAUCCCUUGCCACAGGUGUUGGUGUCACCCAUGAUCUAUCCUCCUGUAUGGCCAAAUCCCCUGCCCCCAUAGGCCACAGAUGCCAUGGCCCACGUGGCCGGCUUCACUGUGGCUCAUGACGUGAGUGCUCGUGACUGGCUAACAAGAUGCAAUGGGAAACAGUGGCUGCUGGGAAAAACCUUCGACACCUUCUGCCCUCUGGGCCCUGCCUUGGUGACCAAGGACAGUGUAGCAGAUCCACACAACUUAAAGAUCUGCUGUCGAGUGAAUGGGGAAGUGGUCCAGAGCAGCAACACCAACCAGAUGGUAUUCAAGACAGAGGACCUGAUAGCCUGGGUGUCCCAGUUUGUUACCUUUUACCCAGGGGAUGUCAUCCUGACUGGGACCCCCCCACCUCCACCCAGGUGUCGGUGUAUUCAGGAAACCUCCUGUCUUUCUCAAGGUCUCUGAAGGUCCAGACAGCACUGAUGGCGAGCUUUGGGUCCGCACACUCUGGAAAGAAGAGAGAAGUGAAGGCUCUAGGUAGGGAGAACAGAGAGCCACUGGGCACAGGCUUCUCUCCUCUUGUUUAAAGAAGCCCAGGGAGGGAUAGAGCUCUGACUGGACAGAAGACUGUACUCUGCAGCCUGCCUUCCUAGAGUUGGGUUGUCACUGUCCUGCAGGGGGCAGCAGCCACCAGCAAACACCACUGCCUGCAGGAGCCUGGGCUGACUGGUUGGGACUCACCGAAGAUCCCUUCUUCCUGGGCGGUGGCCUGCAGGAACUGGAACAGCUGCUCUGUGUAGCCCAACUCUGCAGAAGAGAGAAGACCUAGACCUGGCACCCAGCACAGACACAGCCUGCCUCGAGGACUGCAAGGGAACAAGGGCCUCACCAGUAUCGGGCAGCUGGCCCUGGCGGAGGAAGGCGGCAGCCUGUGCAAAGGCCUUGAGCAGCGGGCUGAGCAGGCGGCAGAGGAAAAGAAAGAAAUCUGGGCAGUGUGACUGCUGGCUGAGCUGGAGGGGACAGGCCGGGGUGAGUGCAGCUCCCCACCGCCUCCCUACCACCUCCCUCCAGGGGCAGCUUUUUGAAACACACCCUGAAGUACCGGCCGUCAGCCUCUCCGAAGUCAUCACUGUCACUAUCAGUAAAGUCCCCACUCGGUUUCCACA
rnacentral:lncRNA from 1 species